rnacentral:rRNA from 1 species
GACGAACGCUGGCGGCGUGCUUAACACAUGCAAGUCGAACGAAGAGCGAAGGAAGCUUGCUUCUAUCAAUCUUAGUGGCGAACGGGUGAGUAACGCGUAAUCAACCUGCCCUUCAGAGGGGGACAACAGUUGGAAACGACUGCUAAUACCGCAUACGAUCUAAUCUCGGCAUCGAGGAUAGAUGAAAGGUGGCCUCUACAUGUAAGCUAUCACUGAAGGAGGGGAUUGCGUCUGAUUAGCUAGUUGGAGGGGUAACGGCCCACCAAGGCGAUGAUCAGUAGCCGGUCGGAGAGGAUGAACGGCCACAUUGGGACUGAGACACGGCCCAGACUCCUACGGGAGGCAGCAGUGGGGAAUCUUCCGCAAUGGACGAAAGUCUGACGGAGCAACGCCGCGUGAGGGAUGACGGCCUUCGGGUUGUAAAGCUCGGUUAAUCGGGACGAAAGGCCUUCUUGCGAAUAGUGAGAAGGAUUGACGGUACCGGAAUAGAAAGCCACGGCUAACUACGUG